rnacentral:rRNA from 1 species
AGUGGCGACCGGGUGAGUACACGUGACUAACCUGCCCUUGAGUGGGGGAUAACCUCGGGAAACCGGGGCUAAUACCGCAUAACAUCGCAAGAUCAAAGGAGCAAUCCGCUGAAGGAGGGGGUCGCGGCUGAUUAGUUAGUUGGUGAGGUAACGGCUCACCAAGACGAAGAUCAGUAGCCGGCCUGAGAGGGCGCACGGCCACACUGGAACUGAAACACGGUCCAGACUCCUACGGGAGGCAGCAGUGGGGAAUUUUGCGCAAUGGGGGAAACCCUGACGCAGCAACGCCGCGUGGAGGAUGAAGUCCCUUGGGAUGUAAACUCCUUUCGAUCGGGACGAUAAUGACGGUACCGGAAGAAGAAGCACCGGCUAACUCUGUGCCAGCAGCCGCGGUAAUACAGAGGGUGCGAGCGUUGUUCGGAAUUAUUGGGCGUAAAGGGCGCGUAGGCGGUGCGGUAAGACUGUGGUGAAAUCUCCGGGCUCAACUCGGAAAUUGCCGCGGUGACUGCCAUGCUGGAGUGUGGGAGAGGUGAGUGGAAUUCCCGGUGUAGCGGUGAAAUGCGUAGAUAUCGGGAGGAACGCCUGUGGCGAAAGCGGCUCACUGGACCACAACUGACGCUGAGGCGCGAAAGCUAGGGGAGCAAACAGGAUUAGAUACCCUGGUAGUCCUAGCCCUAAACGAUGAUUGCUUGGUGUAUCGGGUACCCAAUCCCGAUGUGCCGCAGCUAACGCGAUAAGCAAU